rnacentral:rRNA from 1 species
ACGAACGCUGGCGGCGUGCUUAACACAUGCAAGUCGAACGCUGAAGGCCUGGCUUUUGUUGGGUUGGAUGAGUGGCGAACGGGUGAGUAACACGUGAGUAACCUGCCCUCUUCUUUGGGAUAACGCCCGGAAACGGGUGCUAAUACUGGAUAUUCACUGAUCUUCGCAUGGGGGUUGGUGGAAAGGUUUGUUCUGGUGGGGGAUGGGCUCGCGGCCUAUCAGCUUGUUGGUGGGGUGAUGGCCUACCAAGGCUUUGACGGGUAGCCGGCCUGAGAGGGUGACCGGUCACAUUGGGACUGAGAUACGGCCCAGACUCCUACGGGAGGCAGCAGUGGGGAAUAUUGCACAAUGGGCGAAAGCCUGAUGCAGCGACGCCGCGUGAGGGAUGGAGGCCUUCGGGUUGUAAACCUCUUUCGCUCAUGGUCAAGCCGCAACUGUGGGUUGUGGUGAGGGUAGUGGGUAAAGAAGCGCCGGCUAACUACGUG